rnacentral:rRNA from 1 species
CGGGACGGGGUGGAGUAAUGUCUGGGAAACUGCCUGAUGGAGGGGGGUAACUACUGGAAACGGUAGCUAAUACCGCAUAACGUCGCAAGACCAAGAGGGGACCUUCGGGCCUCUUGCCAUCGGAUGUGCCCAGAUGGGAUUAGCUAGUAGGUGGGGUAACGGCUCACCUAGGCGACGAUCCCUAGCUGGUCUGAGAGGAUGGCCAGCCACACUGGAACUGAGACACGGUCCAG